rnacentral:rRNA from 1 species
AUUGAACGCUGGCGGCAUGCUUUACACAUGCAAGUCGAACGGCAGCGCGGGCUUCGGCCUGGCGGCGAGUGGCGAACGGGUGAGUAAUACAUCGGAACGUGCCCAGUAGCGGGGGAUAGCUCGGCGAAAGCCGGAUUAAUACCGCAUACGACCUGAGGGUGAAAGCGGGGGAUCUUCGGACCUCGCGCUAUUGGAGCGGCCGAUGGCAGAUUAGCUAGUUGGUGGGGUAAAGGCCUACCAAGGCGACGAUCUGUAGCUGGUCUGAGAGGACGACCAGCCACACUGGGACUGAGACACGGCCCAGACUCCUACGGGAGGCAGCAGUGGGGAAUUUUGGACAAUGGGCGAAAGCCUGAUCCAGCAAUGCCGCGUGUGUGAUGAAGGCCUUCGGGUUGUAAAGCACUUUUGGCGGGAAAGAAAAGGAAUGUGCCAAUACCACGGUUGGAUGACGGUACCCGCAGAAUAAGCACCGGCUAACUACGUG